rnacentral:lncRNA from 1 species
GUAAUCCACCACCAAAAUCUCUUUUUAGAGUCUGCUUCCUCAAACCCCUGCUGGUACCCACAGUGUUGGGUUGAGUUUCCCGGGAAACAGACCCUGAAGUGAAGGUCUCUGUGCAGGAAGUUCACUGGAGUAGUGCCCUCUGCGUCAAUCCCUGCGGGAGAGUGAAGUAUGUGGGACUGGGCAGAGAGAGGAGUUGAACUGCAAUGCAAUUACAAGGCCUCAGUGGAGUCUAUAGGAGCUCUGGAGCUGGGAUGGAGCUACAGAGUCAUCCCAAAUUAAGGCAAGGGGGCGAGGCAGUCAUACUCCAACAGUGGUCAGUCAUUGGAUGAGGGCUAGCCUUUAUCUCUAGGGUAGGGGCAUGAACUUGGCUGAAACAACUGUCUUCAGCUGAAAGCUGUGCCUGGUGAGGGACUCAGCUGGACUCCAUCGGCCACCAACUCUCCCAGCAGCUGGGGAAAUGAGUGCCUUGGUCUGAAAGGGGAUCUGGAUAGCAUACCACAGCAUGGCUACAAUGUGCUGGGCAUUGCUUUGGUGUUGAGAUACAGCAGUGAACGUAGCAGACAAAAUCCCAUGUUCUUUUCUACGAUUUAAAUGGUGUGCUCAAGGAAGGCAUCACUGUGCAGCUGGCGUUGAACAAAGACUUGGAGGAAGAGAGGAAACAAGCUAUGCAGAUAUUUGGGGCAAAUGUUUUCCAGGCAGCAGCAACAUUUCUGUCAUCUGAGAAUGAGAAUUAGGAAGAAGCAUUGGAGCUUUGAGGAGAGAUGAGAAAGUUUCAAGGCCUGGGAUAAGCACCCGCUUGAAGUUGCAGUCAUGGAUUCAAAAUGAGUCAAUGUAAAGAGAUACAGACUCUCUUACUGCCAAUUCACUUUAUUCCCGGGGCCUCGUCUCACCUGUCUCAAAAGUGAACUUCGUAUUUGGUUGUCGGGAUUCAGAAACACAUUCUGGAUAAGGAUGGAGCAUCACAGGACGGCUCGUGUCGGAGGAAGGGAUUUCUCCUGGGUUGUGCUGUUGUUAAUCACUCCAGAUACGUCUGAACGACAACAAACUCCCCAAGGGUUCCUUUCGAAAGCUCACACUUUGUUCUCCAAAGCCAUUGGGCCAAACAGCAACCAACAAACACAAAACAGCCCAUUUAAGAAAUCAAUACAGAGCCAGUCUUGAUGACCUAGUGGUUAAAGUUUGGUGCUCACUGAGUUUGCUGCGGCGGCCCGGGUUCGCUUCCAGGAUGCAGAACCACACCACCCAACUGUCAGGUGCCAUGCUGUGGGGGCGGCUCACACAGAAGAACCAGAAAGACUUACAACCAUGAGUACAACCGCAUAC